rnacentral:lncRNA from 1 species
UGGUUUUGAUUUGCAAUCUGCUUGUACGAAUCACCAACUCCCAACAAACUCUUAUGAAUUAAAACCAGGUGCAUCUACUUCCUGCUCGAUUUCUUGAAUUAGUGGUCACUUAUGCAGAAUGUUACCAGGGCAUUUAUAUUUAUAUUAUAUUAAAAUAGCUCAUAUAUUUUUUGUUUAGUUGUGUCUUUGUUUUUAGCAUAGUGAGAUCUGUUGACGACCAACGAAAAUACAAAAUUCACAGGUGCCGCGAGCUUAUGGUUUAUUAUAAGAGAUUAAGAGAACAGAGGAAAAAUUUGGCUGCUCCGUAGAAACUUGUGCAUUUUUUGUGGAUGUUUAGUAGUUUGCAUGCUUCAUAUUAAUGAAAGGCUUUCAUAGCUGAUCACUUGUUCCCUAUUUUUACUCCCCGAGUCCCAGCUUCUUUGAGUCAUGAAUGGGAACAGAUUCAAGUCUUUUUGGUCAUGGCAGCAUCAGGAACAUGUUGAGAAUGCAGCUCAUGGACAAAGGUGCAAGGCUGCAUCAAACUGCAAGAAUGAUCCAGAAUGUUCAGAUGCUGUCAAGUUGCCACCCUGAUUCUGUUAGUUAGUUAGCCUGUUACAAAACAGAAUAUGCUGUGCAUGAUUCUGUUAGUUAUUCAGUUAGUUGGUAUCCAUUCUGUUAGUGUGUGAGCUGUAGUAUAAGAAGACUGGAAGUAGCAAGGUUGUAGCUUAAGAAUUCUAUUUUCCUUCUUCUAUUCUCUCUCUGCAAAAUAGCUUAACAGUUCUUGUAAUCUCUGUAGUUCAUUUCAGUAAUACAUUGCAAGCUUUAGUGUUCAAUAUACAAGUAUUCAUCUACAAACUUUAUCNCAUAUAUUUGUUCAUAAAAUGAAAAUUUGAAAACUAAUAUAAGAAGUUUGUUUUCUUUGAACUCAAAUUAUAUGCAAAAAGUCAAAGUCACACUUAUUACGAUGGGACAGAGGGAGUAGUUGAUAUCUACAUAAACCAAUAACAAUCUUAAUCUUAGUACAUACCAAAUCAAGCAUGGUUUCCACAUCCAUGAUUUCUGGCUUCUUUCUAGAUAACCAGAUAUAGAAUGCGUCGGCUCCUGCACAAACACCAGCUGUCGGAACCUUACUAACGAUCCUGUGAUUCACAACAAAAAACUGCGAUGUACAUACAUAGUUAUAUUCAUAUAUUGCGCAUAUAAAUAUUUAUACACUCAUAUAAUCUUAUAUAUGUUAUAUUUGAGAGAUUCACAAAUAAAUUACAACUUAAUGCACGUUCCAAACAUAUGGAAUAGAAGAUAGCUGUAAUUACGUACCUUAGUUGAACGUUCCAAACAUCGGUUCAUGGUAUAUUUCCAUCUCAUCUUUGCUUGAGUUUGCUUCGUCUUCUUCAAAAAGAGGCCCGCAGAAAGUAAAAUAUACCUAAUUUAAUGGCAUAUAAAAAAGUUUAAAAGGGUUUCAAAGAAGAAAAAUUCGGAUUUGUCUCUAAUUUUCUUUUCUUUAUGAAGGGAAAUUCCAAAACAGAAAAAUAACAACAAACAUCUAUGCUUCUCCUUUACAUAAAUAUAUUGAUAUCGGUGAUUUUCAAAAUUUAACAAUAAAUCAUUUUUAUUAAUAAACAAACUUGUUUUUACGCUAAAUUAUAAUCAAAAUUUGAUUAAUUUGAAUGAUAAAAAUUCAAAUCAAAUUAUUAUUUUGAGAUCGUAAAACUAUAUUUAAAGAGGGGACCCUAACGAGCAGCUAUUAGUGAGGAGAGAGACGCAGCGAGAGAAGCAAGAUGUCGGCGAUUUUCCGUUGUCUGGACAGAGGAGGUGACAGACUUAUCGAACUUGUGAGUAGUUUUAAGCCAGUGGGGAAGGUAACUCUACGCUCUCUCUUGCAUGCAAAAUGAUAUCUAUUCAAUUUCAAUAUAUCAAUUGAGAAAUAACAAUAACGGUUUUUCUAGUGUGUGGUUUUUGCAUAUGCUAAGCGAGGAAUUUUAUGAGUUUGGGAGAUUUUGAUGGACUCUUAUAUCUUAAUAAUGGUGGACCCUUGCACAUGCAACAACUACACCAAUCACAUGUAAAAUUUGGCGCUUAACAUGUGUUCAUGAGCACAUACUAGACAAACCCUGACGAUAAUAGUAAUAAUAAUGUUCCUGUCUGUGUUUUAGAUUCUCAAAAAGCACUGGAUCAUGAGACAAUUGGUGGGCUCUGUGCCUUAUGGCAUGGUUGUUUGGCCGGCUAUGGUUGCGAGUGAGCCGGAGGGACGAGCUUGCAUUCGGAGCAAAUUUAGUUAUUUCAUGUCCAAAAGGGAUGAUUUGAAUUCUCAGGCCUCUUAACUAGUAAAUAGUAAUUAAUCCUCGUUUUAAUUAUCAAACAGAUAAAAAUUAUUUGCUUACUGCUUGUUCUGUUCUUUUUAAUGAUUUUGCUGCCUAUUAAGAUUGUUUAAUCUAUUGCAUGCUUUGUUCGAUAUGUAUAGUGCUUGUCUGUUGAACUUGUAUCCUUCAAAAUUUCUAAAUAUUUGAAGAAGCCUGCGUUUUCACUUGGAUCAGCUUCAAGCCUACAACGAUGAAUACCCCGUGAUGUAUCUAUUGUUAGAUUAGCAUCUUUCUAUAAACAUUUAGACUCGAGUGUGUUUGUGAAGGUUUUCAAUUGAAAUUAUAGUCCUUCGAUAUGAUGUAAUUUUAUGCUUGUGUGAGCCUAUUAUAUUAUUGACCGGUAAAAAGCCUGGUUAACAUUAAGUAUGAUAAUCGAUUAAUCGUUCCAAGCUUUCCUCUAUUUUGGGAUGGAUGGAUGAUAAUAACAGAGCAGAGAUAAAAUUUUUUGACUAUUAGCUUUUGAGAGAUUAAAAGAUGAAUCAUAUGAGUGCAUGUAUGUUUGGGCUUUUGUUACGAUGUGCUUACGCUUUUUUUUUUUUAGAACUUGUAGAUGUUCAAGCUCUGUUUGAUUUGCACCGGAUCUCUGCAUUGUGUUUGUGCCGACCAUUCCAAACGGUUUCUUAAAAGGUUUUGAUUUGCGGCCUUUUGAGAACAUUAUACUGGUUUUGAUUUGCAAUCUGCUUGUACGAAUCACCAACUCCCAACAAACUCUUAUGAAUUAAAACCAGGUGCAUCUACUUCCUGCUCGAUUUCUUGAAUUAGUGGUCACUUAUGCAGAAUGUUACCAGGGCAUUUAUAUUUAUAUUAUAUUAAAAUAGCUCAUAUAUUUUUUGUUUAGUUGUGUCUUUGUUUUUAGCAUAGUGAGAUCUGUUGACGACCAACGAAAAUACAAAAUUCACAGGUGCCGCGAGCUUAUGGUUUAUUAUAAGAGAU